GCCAGUGUGGUGUAAUGGUUUGAGCAUUGGACUAUCACUGUGGAGGUCAGGGCUCAAUCCCCUGCUCAGUCA